GUCCUUCCCAGCUGGCUAUGGGACUUGAAGCAUCUCAUGCCCACCAGAUGGUACACGGUGCCUGAGGAGAAGCCCAGGGAGGACAGAACAGCUGUGAGCCUCAAAAAUGAGCCCAUUUUCAACUCCGCUGGGGCAAUAGACUGUCAAAAAGUGGCUCAUAAAAUAGCUUUUUCAUUUAGUCACUCAAUAACUAAUUACAGAGUGACUGCUGGGUACAAGGCAUUUUUCUGCCCCUGCUCCCCCGCCCCAGGUGUGAACACCAGCCCUGCAGCCCCUCCAACGUACAGCAGACGCUAAAUCCAGGAGGCGGCUCAGGCACCAGAGUAAUUCGCAGUUAUGGGAGCCUUUAAACAAUCUCAUUCACUUGCCUUGCCCUAAUCUAACUUCCUCUCCCGGGAUAUGUCUGCAAGACUCAUUACUAAGAAAUGCUGGCCUCGGCCACAUCAUAGACUUAAGACUCCAGCCCCUCUGCUGCCAUGAGCAAACCUCAGCUGUUCCAAAGCGAAGCCGUAUUUCACCUCUCCCAAGAGGCCAGAUCGAAGCCACACUACAGAUUCCAGAAGGAUGGGCAGAUGCGGGGAUGUGAAGAUCUUGGGUGGAUCAACAGCACAGAGGAGAAGGAAAAUCCUGUGAUGUGAAAUAUUCUCCAGCAAGAAAAGCAAUAGGAGAAGUGACCGCGAAGCCACUUCAGCUGUUUGUGCUCUCUCUCUCUCUCAGAAUCCCUCCAGUAAAUAGUUAAAAAAAAAAAAAAAAAGAUGGUGGCUUUGGAGCGCAUGUUUUUACUGGAAUUGGAAGGGGUUUUAUCAAGAGAAGUCCAGAACACUCCCUUCUCACCUGAAGGAGGACAACACCAUCCGCGCCCCCCUUCGCCCCCAUUACAGCACCAGCUUGGGGAAGAGAGCUCAUGAGCUCUUAGCAAUUCCCCUAUUUGCAGACUGAAGCUCCUUUGCUCAAAAACUGAUGAAUACGUUUUCUUUUGUGGCAUGAAAAUAGGUGACCUUUUCCCCCUGAAUUCCCAUCCUGGGGGCCAGGGAAGAGAGCCCAGGAUCCCUUCUCUUGGCCCUUGCACCGUGGGAAAGAGAAUCCAGAGUUGAAAAGCCUGAGAAAUGCCCUGGAACAGCUUUGAAAGUCACUCAGCGUGAGCGUUUGCCCUCUGAAAAAUCAUCCCCGUUGUAUCGCGACAGGCACGCCUUGGGGUCUGUGACCCGGUCCCAGACACAGAGCUGAUUCCCUGUGUCAGCAGAUUCACACCACUUGUCUCGCUUCUGAGAACAGUUUCUAAAGAAUUAUCUGGUGAAGUCAGUUUCCUAGGAGAAUCCAUCACAUCUCCCCAGCAGAUAUUUCCACCCUUGCAAACCAUUAGAUAAACUUAAAGAACAAAUUAGUCCUCACUGUCGGCCCCCGCCCCCAGCCCUCUCCAGGCCACCACUUAAAUCAUGCUACUUUCUCAGUGGAUUUGAAGCAAGCUUUCAGAUCGGAGCCCUCCAACCAAGAGACCAAGGACAUAACUCAUAAGAACAAUCGCCCAACAGCUGUCUCUUCAACUUCUCCCAUCUGGUAUCUGCUCCCUUGUGAAUGGGGCACCCACCAGCAGGAAGGGUUAGGGCUGGGGUGAGUUAAGUCUUGAAAAGAAAGGGGUGACAGAAAAGGAGUGAGAUCAAAACGGUCCCAGGAGGCAAGUGUCGGUCAAGGGCUUUGAAACCCUUCAAAUAGCUACUUCUGCUCUGUCUUGAUUUUGUCCCACUCUCCGCUGUUACAUACCUGCCACCCUAGAAAAACCACGAGCUCUGUGUGGCCACUGGCAAUCAGCUGCUGGUCACUUUAUAAAAGAGUCUGCUCCUCUCCAGAAUCAGAACAAAAUCUACGUUGAUUCACUUGGUUUCCCUAAACUGAAUUAAGCAUCAGAGCGGCACAGUAGGCUGGGAGAAGGACAGAUUUCGCCGUCAGGUAAGCCCGAGUUCCACGUUUUGCCUUUGACACUGGUGGUCAAGGCAGGCAAGGUGGUCAAGGCAGGUUAGUCACGGAGUCUCUGCUGUCUGCUCUGUAAAACCGAAGUGGUUACACUUACCUUGUAUGACUCAAAUAAGAAUAAAAUGGGGGAGGGAGGAUGAAAUGACAGUAGCUAUUUAACACACUUGACGGAGUGUCCUAAUGAAUAGCACCUAGUUCCCUGUGUCUUUGUUGUACAUACAGCCAUAACUGGGAUCCCAUCAUUAAACUGGUUCCGACAUUUUGA